AAAGGUAGCAAGAUUGGUAAUUUAUAAAAUCAACCUUAGAAUUCCAUCACUUAGGUCCCCUUCGGGUUUGCUUCUUUUGUUACGGUUAUCUUUUGAUUGUAAGUUGAUGUUCAUUCAUUUAUUUGCAUUCAACGUUAGGGAGUCUAGAGACGUCGGCGGGGGCCUCAGGAAGAGUUAUCUUUUCUAUUUAACAACCCCCCCACCCUGGAAACAACUCAGUCGGACGUAGGGUCCAGCGGCUGGAAGAGCACCACACGUCGAGCGGUGUACGGUGCGCCCUUGGCGGCCCAUGAAAAUCUGGAGGACCGAGUGCCAUCCACACCAGGUCGUACUCAGAACCGCAUCAGGUCUCCAAGGUGAACAACCUCU
rnacentral:ncRNA from 1 species